rnacentral:tRNA from 2 species
GCACUCGUAGCUCAGCUGGAUAGAGCAUCGGAUUUCGAUUCCGAGGGUCGGGCGUUCGAAUCGCUCCGAGUGCGCCA